UGGCUCAGGAUGAACGCUAGCGGCAGGCCUAAUACAUGCAAGUCGAACGGUCUUUAGCAAUAGAGAUAGUGGCGCACGGGUGCGUAACGCGUAACCAACCUACCUGAAUCUGGGGGAUAGCCCGCCGAAAGGCGGAUUAAUACCGCAUAAAMCCACAGARYGGCAUCRUUUAAUKGKUAAAGAUUUAUUGGAUUCAGAUGGGGUUGCGUGCCAUUAGCUAGUUGGGGAGGUAACGGCUCACCAAGGCGACGAUGGCUAGGGGAGCUGAGAGGCUGGUCCCCCACACGGGCACUGAGAUACGGGCCCGACUCCUACGGGAGGCAGCAGUAGGGAAUAUUGGGCAAUGGGCGAGAGCCUGACCCAGCCAUGCCGCGUGCAGGAUGAAGGCUUUCUGAGUCGUAAACUGCUU
rnacentral:rRNA from 1 species